AUGCGAGUCGAGGGCGUAGAAGUCUUCGGACUUUGAGACCGGCGCACGGGUGCGUAACGCGUAUGCAAUCUACCUUUUACAGAGGGAUAGCCCAGAGAAAUUUGGAUUAAUACCUCAUAGUAUUAUGAAAUGGCAUCAUUUUAUAAUUAAAGUCACAACGGUAAAAGAUGAGCAUGCGUCCCAUUAGCUAGUUGGUAAGGUAACGGCUUACCAAGGCUACGAUGGGUAGGGGUCCUGAGAGGGAGAUCCCCCACACUGGUACUGAGACACGGACCAGACUCCUACGGGAGGCAGCAGUGAGGAAUAUUGGACAAUGGGCGCAAGCCUGAUCCAGCCAUGCCGCGUGCAGGAUGACGGUCCUAUGGAUUGUAAACUGCUUUUAUACGAGAAGAAACACUCCUUCGUGAAGGAGCUUGACGGUAUCGUAAGAAUAAGGAUCGGCUAACUCCGUGCCAGCCGCCGCGGUAA
rnacentral:rRNA from 1 species